rfam:Danio rerio chromosome 14, GRCz11 reference primary assembly.
AAGGUCUCCUAUGCCACCGCCAUGGACUGGUUUAUAGCCGUGUGUUUCGCGUUU